rnacentral:rRNA from 1 species
CCUACGGGUGGCAGCAGUGGGGAAUAUUGCGCAAUGGGCGAAAGCCUGACGCAGCGACGCCGCGUGAGGGAUGAAGGUCUUCGGAUCGUAAACCUCUGUCAGCAGGGAAGAACGGUCACUGUGCUAAUCAGCAGUGAAUUGACGGUACCUGCAAAGGCAGCACCGGCUAACUCCGUGCCAGCAGCCGCGGUAAUACGGAGGGUGCGAGCGUUAAUCGGAAUUACUGGGCGUAAAGCGCUCGUAGGCGGUAUGUCAAGUCAAUGGUGAAAUCCCCGCGCUCAACGUGGGAAGUGCCUUUGAAACUGGCAAACUGGAGUGUGUGAGAGGAUAGUGGAAUUCCAGGUGUAGGAGUGAAAUCCGUAGAUAUCUGGAGGAACAUCAGUGGCGAAGGCGACUAUCUGGAACAUAACUGACGCUGAGGAGCGAAAGCGUGGGUAGCAAACAGGAUUAGAUACCCCAGUAGUC